GAUGAAGAACGUAGCGAAAUGCGAUAAGUAAUGUGAAUUUCAGAAUUCAGUGAAUCAUCGAAUCUUUGAACGCACAUUGCGCCCGGCAGUACUCUGCCGGGCAUGCCUGUUCGAGCGUCAUUUCAACCCUCAAGCCCUGCUUGGUGUUGGGGUCCCACGGCCGCCGUGGGCCCUGAAAGGAAGUGGCGGGCUCGCUACAACUCCGAGCGUAGUAAUUCAUUAUCUCGCUUAGGGCGUUGGGCGGCGCUCCUGCCGUUAAAGAACCAUCUUUAACUCAAGGUUGACCUCGGAUCAGGUAGGAAUACCCGCUGAACUUAAGCAUAUCAAUAAGCGGAGGA
rnacentral:misc_RNA from 1 species